GACGAACGCUGGCGGCGUGCUUAACACAUGCAAGUCGAACGGAAAGGCCUGCUUUCCCUUGUGGAUUGCGGGUACUCGAGUGGCGAACGGGUGAGUAACACGUGAGUGAUCUGCCCCCAACUUGGGUAUAAGCCUGGGAAACUGGGUCUAAUUCCCGAUAGGACUGCAGGGUGGUGCCUGUGGUGGAAAACGAUUUUCUAGUGGUUGGGGAUGAGCUCGCGGCCUAUCAGCUUGUUGGUGGGGUAAUGGCCUACCAAGGCGGCGACGGGUAGCCGGCCUGAGAGGGUGGACGGCCACAUUGGGACUGAGAUACGGCCCAGACUCCUACGGGAGGCAGCAGUGGGGAAUAUUGCACAAUGGGCGGAAGCAUGAUGCAGCGACGCCGCGUGGGGGAUGACGGCCUUCGGGUUGUAAACUCCUUUCGACCGCGAGGAAGCCACCUGGUUGGAAGGGUGGUGACGGUAGUGGUAGAAGAAGCACCGGCUAACUACGUG
rnacentral:rRNA from 1 species